UACGUAGGGGGCAAGCGUUGUCCGGAAUCAUUGGGCGUAAAGCGCGUGUAGGCGGCUCGGUAAGUCCGCUCUGAAAGUCCGGGCUCAACCCCGGGAGGCGGGUGGAAACUGUCGAGCUAGAGUCCGGAAGAGGCGAGUGGAAUUCCUGGUGUAGCGGUGAAAUGCGCAGAUAUCAGGAGGAACACCAAUGGCGAAGGCAGCUCGCUGGGACGGUACUGACGCUGAGACGCGAAAGCGUGGGGAGCAAACAGG
rnacentral:rRNA from 1 species